AUUGAACGCUGGCGGCAUGCCUUACACAUGCAAGUCGAACGGCAGCACGGGAGCAAUCCUGGUGGCGAGUGGCGAACGGGUGAGUAAUACAUCGGAACGUGCCCAAUCGUGGGGGAUAACGCAGCGAAAGCUGUGCUAAUACCGCGUACGAUCUACGGAUGAAAGCAGGGGAUCGCAAGACCAUGCGCGAAUGGAGCGGCCGAUGGCAGAUUAGGUAGUUGGUGAGGUAAAGGCUCACCAAGCCGUCGAUCUGUAGCUGGUCUGAGAGGACGACCAGCCACACUGGGACUGAGACACGGCCCAGACUCCUACGGGAGGCAGCAGUGGGGAAUUUUGGACAAUGGGCGAAAGCCUGAUCCAGCCAUGCCGCGUGCAGGAUGAAGGCCUUCGGGUUGUAAACUGCUUUUGUACGGAACGAAACGGCCUUUUCUAAUAAAGAGGGCUAAUGACGGUACCGUAAGAAUAAGCACCGGCUAACUACGUGCCAGCAGCCGCGGUAAUACGUAGGGUGCAAGCGUUAAUCGGAAUUACUGGGCGUAAAGCGUGCGCAGGCGGUUAUGUAAGACAGUUGUGAAAUCCCCGGGCUCAACCUGGGAACUGCAUCUGUGACUGCAUAGCUAGAGUACGGUAGAGGGGGAUGGAAUUCCGCGUGUAGCAGUGAAAUGCGUAGAUAUGCGGAGGAACACCGAUGGCGAAGGCAAUCCCCUGGACCUGUACUGACGCUCAUGCACGAAAGCGUGGGGAGCAAAAAGG
rnacentral:rRNA from 1 species